rnacentral:rRNA from 1 species
UACGAAGGGGGCUAGCGUUGUUCGGAAUUACUGGGCGUAAAGGGCGCGUAGGCGGUUUGACUCGUCGGAUGUGAAAGGCCUGGGCUCAACCUGGGAACGGCAUCCGAUACGGUCAGACUUGAGUGUGGGAGAGGUUGGUGGAAUUCCCAGUGUAGAGGUGAAAUUCGUAGAUAUUGGGAAGAACACCGGUGGCGAAGGCGGCCAACUGGACCACAACUGACGCUGAGGCGCGAAAGCGUGGGGAGCAAACAGG